AAAACAAUGUCUGCUCUAGCUCGGUGACACUCAAUUGAAAGAACUGGCAAACAAAGGUAACAAAUAACUUUAAUACUCACGUAAUAACGUUCUCCUGGCAAAAUUUCACCAACAAGCCACCACACACACACAGCAUCACAACAGACGAAAUCCCCAAGGUGAUAAUGGACGCCAGUCCAACUUCAGCACUAAGGAGAAGGCACUGAGGGCAGUUAUCCGUUCAUGUUCCUUUUCUGCAAGUGAUUCCCGACGUUUCAGCACCUAGGCAACAGUGCUUGGACAGUGGAUUGCUGGUUUGAAAAACACCCAGUUGGCUACAUACUACAAGGCAACAGCAAAUGUAAAGUCAACCAUAAACGAUUGUGAAGAUGAAAUAUCCUUUGCACACUACCAGGCCUCACAACAACAGCAUGUUCCGGGCUCAUGUGAUCCUCACACUAGGGACUGGGCAUCUGAUUGUUUUGAUAAUCAACUGUAUCACCCUUUUAGCUUUAUUCCCGUCAUUCUGCACUUUGCCUUACCUGUGAUAAAUCUUCCUUGUCUUUCUGUAGGUUUUGAUGGCCAUUGAUAAUUGGAGAGCAGCAUUGGAAUGUGACAGCUUGUCUGGGAUAAAAGCACUACUAAUUUAAUUAGUUUAAAUAACAGAAAAUUUAACUAAUGAUUCUUAUUGCAUUCUUGGCUUGUUUUCAGAAAAUUUCAGCUGAAGUUUACCUAUGUGCAAACAGAGAGAGUACAAACAGGACAAUCCAGUGCAAGCUGUCUAAAGCCAAAUAGUUUCUAUGUGCAAGAUUUCAGGUUAACUUGUUGCAUACAAGUUGUUGUAAAUCUUCAAAAUAUUGUUGCCUUUCCCAGAUCAAAUUCUAUUUUGCUACAAUGCUUCUACUUAAGUGGUUGUGACCACAUUUUGCUGAGUUCUCAUUUAUAAAAAUGUAAUAAUAUGUCGCCGCUGGCAUAAUGUUUGUAAAUCGAUGAAAGAUUGUUGCAAUUGAAGAUUGAUAAAUUGUGUUGACGUAAAGAUUACUCAACAAUUUUUAAGUA